rnacentral:rRNA from 1 species
UCGAGAAUUUUUCACAAUGGGCGCAAGCCUGAUGGAGCGACGCCGCGUGGGGGAUGAAUGGCUUCGGCCCGUAAACCCCUGUCAUUCGCGAUCAAACCUGACGACCUAACACGUCGUGAGCUGAUAGUAGCGGAAGAGGAAGGGACGGCUAACUCUGUGCCAGCAGCCGCGGUAAUACAGAGGUCCCAAGCGUUGUUCGGAUUCACUGGGCGUAAAGGGUGCGUAGGCGGUAUGACAAGUCUAACGUGAAAUGCUGGAGCUCAACUCCGGAACUGCGUAGGAAACUGUCAUGCUAGAGGGUUGGAGGGGGGACUGGAAUUCUCGGUGUAGCAGUGAAAGGCGUAGAUAUCGAGAGGAACACCCGUGGCGAAGGCGAGUCCCUAGACAAGUCCUGACGCUGAGGCACGAAAGCUAGGGGAGCAAACG